rnacentral:rRNA from 1 species
UACGUAGGUGGCAAGCGUUGUCCGGAAUUACUGGGCGUAAAGGGCGUGUAGGCGGCCUUUUAAGUCAGACGUGAAAACCCUGGGCUUAACCCAGGACCUGCGUUUGAUACUGAAGGGCUUGAGGACCGGAGAGGACAGUGGAAUUCCCAGUGUAGCGGUGAAAUGCGUAGAUAUUGGGAGGAACAUCAGUGGCGAAGGCGACUGUCUGGACGGCACCUGACGCUGAGGCGCGAAAGCCAGGGGAGCAAACGGG